rnacentral:rRNA from 1 species
GACGAACCGUGCAAACGUUAUUCGGAAUCACUGGGCUUAAAGGGCGCGUAGGCGGCCACUGCAAGUCGGUUGUGAAAUCUCCGGGCUUAACCCGGAAAGGUCAAUCGAUACUGCAGGGCUAGAGUGCAGAAGGGGCAACUGGAAUUCUCGGUGUAGCGGUGAAAUGCGUAGAUAUCGAGAGGAACACCUGCGGCGAAGGCGGGUUGCUGGGCUGACACUGACGCUGAAGCGCGAAAGCUAGGGGAGCGAACGGG